rnacentral:rRNA from 1 species
UACGGAGGGUGCAAGCGUUAUCCGGAUUCACUGGGUUUAAAGGGCUCGUAGGUGGCCAACUAAGUCAGACGUGAAAUCCCUCAGCUUAACUGGGGAACUGCGUCUGAUACUGGAUGGCUUGAGUUUGGGAGAGGGAUGCGGAAUUCCAGGUGUAGCGGUGAAAUGCGUAGAUAUCUGGAGGAACACCGGUGGCGAAGGCGGCAUCCUGGACCAACACUGACACUGAGGAGCGAAAGCCAGGGGAGCAAACGGG